UGGUAGCUAGCACGAGCGCACCUCGUCUUAGUUGCCAGCGGGUAAGCCGGGGUACUCUAAGGAGACAAACUUCUUGUAGAAGUGGGAAGGUGGGGAUGACGUCAAGUCAGUAUGGCCCUUACGACCAGGGCUGCACACGUGCUACAAUGCCCGGUACAGCAGGACCCAAUACCGCAAGGUGGAGGAAAUCCUCAAAGCCGGGCCCAGUUCGGAUUGGGGUCUGCAACUCGACCCCAUGAAGUUGGAAUCGCUAGUAACGGCGUAUCAGCAACGACGCCGUGAAUACGUUCCCGGGCCUUGUACACGCCGCCCGUCACAUCAUGAAAGCCGGUUCUGCCCGAAGUAUGUGAGCUAACCCUCACGGGAAGCAGCGUCCUAAGGUAGGGCUGGUGAUUGGGAUGAAGUCGUAACAAGGUAGCCGUAGGGGAACCUGCGGCUGGAUCACCUCCUUUCU
rnacentral:rRNA from 1 species